CAUCUGGCCCCGGUUCUGAGAUGUGGGGAGUGCUGGCGGGCUCGGGGGUUGCCUGGAGGCUGCUGCCUGCACACAGAAGGCGGAUGCAGCUUGGGUGCCCAGGCGGGCUGGAGGUGCAUGGCCUGGUAGGCCUCGGGAUCGCCAGCGCGCCCAGCCUGAGGGGCCCCAGGCCGUGCCUCCCGCCCAUUCCUCCACCGGAGGGGGAUCGGGGUCGCUGGCAUGGGCACUUGGCAGUCACCCCGGAUGGGGUUGAGCAGGGGUUCUCAGUUUUCGCCUCUGUGCAGCCGCCGCCGGGCAGAAUGCCUGGCUUGGCCGCAGUCACUGCUACACCUAGCGGGUCGGGCGGGCCGGGGGGUGAAAGCGCUGGGAGGCGGGUGCCUUCUCGCCCUUUGGCGCCUCUGGGCCCCACGGCUUGUCGGCCUCCGGCGCGCAGGGCUCCCCAGCAUCCUGGGCGCCGGCCCGCUGCCUGCACAAAGUCAACUCAGACAGGAUGAACUUCGGUUGCCUUGUCUGGCUGGGCUGCCAGGCGGGGCAGCUGACCUGCUGAUGGGGUGACUUUCUUCAUCUUCUUGCCCACAGGACAGCGGGCUGGGAAGCCAGGGGCCGCCGGGACCUGGGGCUGGAAACCACAUCUGCCCACAGCCGCAGCCUCCUGCACCUGUCAUCCUGGCGGCGCCCUGACGUCGGAGAAGCAGCAGGCGCGGAGCUCCUGCAGCGGGCACCGCUGCAGCAACCCGACCCGGCGUAGGCGGCAGUGGAAGGCGGCCUGCUAGCACAGCUCCCGCGGCCCCAGGACCAGGGGUGCGGCCAGCACCGCCCUCACUCCCCGCGUCUCGUGGAUAUUGCCCUCCCUGGAGGCGGCUGGACCUAAGCGAGGCUCGCAGCGAUCGGCCCCGCGAAGACUCGCAUGCAGGGCUCAGGAUCCCGCAUUCUGGCGCCGCGGCACCGCACCUUUCAGCAGCCCUGCUCCUCUUCUUGUUGGUAAACUUUUGUCACUCUGCCAUGAAAAGCAUCCAGGCGUGCUUGAUUUCGACAUUGCAUGCACGCUCAGCCGAGCUCAUCAGACGGGCGGUUGUCCCCAGAGCCCGCGGGUAGCUUGUUCCUGGGCGGCGGCUCCUUCUGGAUGCAGCUCCUUGUGGGCCUACCAGGCUUGGUGGAGCCAAGGCCCGCCGUGGCCGGCAGACCUGUGGAGAGGAAGAGUAAGGCGGGCUCUGCAGGGCAGUGGGUCGGGACCAUGAGAGAGGCGGGUCAGUCUGGGCUCCAAGCUCAGCCUCUCGGAUUCCCCGGGACCCACGGCUUACAAUGCGCUUAAAUCCCACGCCUCGCCCGAGAGACAGCACGUCACCGUCACCGCCUAGCGCCCCUGACCCGCUCCCACUCCGCUGCAGCGGAGGGUGUGUGAGGGAGAGGGACGCAGGGAGGGAAAAGCGUUGGGAGGGCAAACAUCUUUUCAUAAGCUUUUCCCCUUCUAUAUGCCAUCUCUGAUGGGAGCCUCUUUAGAUCUUUCAUCCAUUUACUAAUUGGGUUGUUCGAUUUCUUAUUGUUGAGUUGUAAGUGGUUUUUAAUGGUCUGGAUGCCAGACAGGUGUUUUGCAAAUAUUUUCUCCGUCUGUGGCUUGUUUCUCCAUUCUCUUAUUUCCUUUCCCAGAGCAAAAGUUUUUAAUUGUAACGACUUCAUACCAAUAUCUUCUUUCAUGGUAGAAAUUUGUCUUUUAUGUACUUUAGUGUUGUAUCUACAAAGUAAUUGCCAAACCCAAAGUUACCUAAAUAUCCCUUUUGUUAUUUUACAGAAGUUUUACAGCUUUUGGAUUUAAAUUUAGGUCUAAAAAUUGAAUUCAUAAAAGUAGAGAGUAUAAUGAUGCUUACCAGAGGCUGUGUUGCUGGGGAGAAAAAUGGGAAGUUGUUCACAGAUGCAAAGAUUCAGUUAAACCAGAGAAAUGCGUUUUGAAAUCUAUUGCACAGCAGGAUGACUAUAGUCAAUAAUAAUGUACUGUAUAUUUAAAUAACAAAAAGUAAAUUUCAAAUAUCUAACCACAAAAAAUAAAAUUGAGGUGAUGGAUAUUUUAUCCUCGAUGUAGUCAUUCCUCAUUUUAUACACAUAUCCAAGCAUCACAUUGUACCCCAUAAAUGUAUACAAUUGUGGUUUGACAAUUUAAAAUAUUAUUAACUUAAAAAUGUGUCGUUCGAGUUAAUUUUUGAGGAGCAAGGUCUGUGUCUCAAUUCUUUUUUUUGCAUAUAUGUAUAUAUACAUACACGCAAUGGAUUCAUCACUGUUUUUGAAAAAGCUACCCUUUCUCCCUUGAAUUGCCUUUACCUUUUUGUAAAAGAUCAAUUGACUGUGUUUGUGCACUCCUAUUUCUGAGUUCUCUAUUCUGUUCCAUUGAUCACUUUGCAAGUCCUUGAACUUU
rnacentral:lncRNA from 1 species